rnacentral:rRNA from 1 species
UACGUAGGGUCCGAGCGUUGUCCGGAAUUACUGGGCGUAAAGAGCUCGUAGGCGGUUUGUCGCGUUGUUCGUGAAAACUCACAGCUUAACUGUGGGCGUGCGGGCGAUACGGGCAGACUAGAGUACUGCAGGGGAGACUGGAAUUCCUGGUGUAGCGGUGAAAUGCGCAGAUAUCAGGAGGAACACCAGUGGCGAAGGCGGUGCUCUGGGCCGGAACUGACGCUGAGGAGCGAAAGCGUGGGGAGCAAACAGG